UCCCUGGUGGCUUAGGUGGUAAAGUAUCCGUCUACAAAGCGGAAGUCCCAGGUCCGAUCCCUGGUUGGUAAG
rnacentral:tRNA from 1 species